UACGGGGGGGGCAAGCGUUGUUCGGAAUUACUGGGCGUAAAGGGCGCGUAGGCGGUUUGCUAAGUUGGAUGUGAAAACUCUGGGCUUAACCCAGAGCCUGCAUCCAAAACUGGCAAACUUGAGUACUGGAGGGGAAAGCGGAAUUCCAGGUGUAGCGGUGAAAUGCGUAGAUAUUCGCAAGAACACCAGUGGCGAAGGCGGCUCACUGGCCCGGUACUGACGCUGAGGUGCGAAAGCGUGGGGAGCAAACAGG
rnacentral:rRNA from 1 species